CAGUCGCCACGGGAAUACGAAGGGGGCUAGCGUUGUUCGGAAUUACUGGGCGUAAAGCGCACGUAGGCGGAUAUUUAAGUCAGGGGUGAAAUCCCAGAGCUCAACUCUGGAACUGCCUUUGAAACUGGGUAUCUUGAGUAUGGAAGAGGUGAGUGGAAUUCCGAGUGUAGAGGUGAAAUUCGUAGAUAUUCGGAGGAACACCAGUGGCGAAGGCGGCUCACUGGUCCAUUACUGACGCUGAGGUGCGAAAGCGUGGGGAGCAAACAGGAUUAGAUACCCCGGUAGUCCCUGUCUCUUAUAC
rnacentral:rRNA from 1 species